UACGUAGGGUGCAAGCGUUGUCCGGAAUUAUUGGGCGUAAAGAGCUCGUAGGCGGUCUGUUGCGUCCGCUGUGAAAACUCGGGGCUUAACCCCGAGCCUGCAGUGGAUACGGGCAGACUAGAGGUAGGUAGGGGAGAAUGGAAUUCCCGGUGUAGCGGUGAAAUGCGCAGAUAUCGGGAGGAACACCGGUGGCGAAGGCGGUUCUCUGGGCCUUACCUGACGCUGAGAGC
rnacentral:rRNA from 1 species